rnacentral:lncRNA from 10 species
CUGAGGGCAGAGCUGUUUGCCUGGCAGAGGAGGAGCAAACAGCCAUGUUGUAAAUGGCCUCUGAGGAGGACUGGCCUCUAGGAGUUGAGGACCUCAAGCCUACAUCUGCAAGGAAUUGAACGAUGCCAAGAACCCGAACAAACUCUGAAGAUGAGAAUGCGGCCCUGUGCCAAGACUGGCUGCCUUCCCCUGUUUCUGUACCACACUGGUUCCUGAAGCUAUUUGAGUUUGAGACUGCUGGGGUAACCUGACCCACUUCAAGGAUCUGAAAGUAUUUUACAGUUGGUUGAAUCCAUGGAUGUGGAACCCAUGGAUGUGAAGGACUGACUGUACUUUGCACUAGUGGUUCUCAAAGUGUGGGCCCUGGACCAGUGGCAGCAGCAUCACCUGGGAACUUGUGAGAAAUGCACUUUUCAGCUCCUGUUUCAGAUGGACCUAUCAGAAUCUCUGCAGGAACAUUUUGAAGUCCCCUCAUAUACAAUGAAAUGAUAGAUUUGUCAACACAGAUAAAUCUCAAAAACACAAUAAGUGAAGAAAGUAAGUUGCAGAUGGAAAUAAUAUGUGAUGGUCAAACAAUCUAGAUGUUUCCGUGAAGGUGUUUUUGGAUGAGACUAACAUUGACAUUGGUGGACUUUGAGUAAAGCAGGUUGCCUGCGUGCCAUAAUGUGGGUAUUCUCAUCCAAUCAGUUGCGGGAUUUAACAGAGCAAAGACUGAGGUCCCCUGAGAAAAUAGGAUUCCACCAGCAGACAGCCUUCAGCCUUGAACUGCAGUGUCACCUCUUCACUGGGCCUCCCAACCUGCUGACACUUUGAUCUUGGACUUCUAGCCUCCAUAACUGUGUGAGCCAAUUCCCUAAAAUAAAUCUCUCUCUGUACACAUUCUAUGGUUAUGUU